CUGGGCUGUUUUUUUUUGGAAAAGUCUUGCAUUAGCAAUAGUGUGAUCACACACUGAUAAAGUGGACCUUCCCAAAGUACUUCAGUAAGCUGUUGUAGAAAGAAAAAAGAGAGGAAGAUGUGGAAAGACUUUAAUAAGAUGCAUGAAACCAUGAGGUCUUCUUGUCUCUAUAUAUCUUUAAGGCAGAUAACAAAAUGAGGCAAGUCAUCCUUGUUUUGUCUGAUUUUUCCUCUGGAUUUGUACUGGACUUCUUAUGAAAGUUACAGAAGUACCAUGUUCUGAAUCUUACUGUUCUUUAUGAUUUAAAAUCAUUAUGUCUUAGGAGGAAUCAAACUAUGGCUCUUAAGCAAUUUGUUGUUCCCACAUUAGCAUCUGACUAGCAAAGGCACUCUAGUAGGCAACUGUGAGUUUUGCAGAUCCUCAGCUGUGAAGUAUAGCACAGCAGGAACCACUGGGCUUGAUUGACAUUGCUCAUUUGCUCUUUAACACAGCUGCCUGCUAAUCCCACCAGGAAAUGUCUCUGAACCAUAACAGAUUCAGUUGCUGUAUACCUGUGAUAUACUCUGGGAUCUCCUCUGCUAGCUCUUACUCCUGAAUAAUGCAGAUGAUUGAUGCUUGCCUGCUUUGGGGUGCUGCAAGAUGUUAGACUGCCUGAGAUCACGUAAUAUCUAUGAUGCUGAAGGAAAGGCCACAGUUGUCUUUACCCUGCAAUGAGUUUCAUCAAGAGAGCAGAGGAGACUUUACUAAAUAUCCUGGAUCAUGUCGUAAGGGACACAACACAUCAGCAAUAACAAGGCAUGGUAACAAUACGUCUGAGGGCUACAAAGAUGCAUUCGCUUAUGCUUCCCUCCUGUCUGCGUGUUCACUUAGACCACCUUGCCUGGCUUUCCAACUGGCAUUUUAUGUCCUGAUCAUUGAUCAGUGGAGACUGCUCAAUUUGUUCAUUAUGGUUCUGCAGAUAACUAUAUUGUUCCCUGGGACAACUGUACAUCUAUCCAUUGGAAAUCAGUGGCAUGCUGAGGAUUUUCCAUUUUUGAAGAUGUUGGAGUGAGAAAGGUACUAAGAUACUCAAGAGUCCUGAAGAAACGUUCUCUAAUUCACAAUGCGCUCUCCUGCACUUCCAACCACUGGCUGAGGCUGCAGAGAUAGGGAUUAUUGUGUUGAGAACACUUGUAAGCAUCGGAGUCAAGAGCAAAUCACCCAGAUGGUUUGUUAAGCAAACAAAUGAACUCCCCUCCCCCCACCCUCCCCAAGUAUCUAUUCAAUGAAGCUGUUCAUUUAAAAACAGGAUAUAUUGAUGCCAUUAAAGAUCUUACAUAUAAAAUUACUUUAGGUGUUUGUCUGCAGCGUAGCGUUCAUUUACAGAUGAGGUUACUGUAGUGCACUCAGACUUCAGAGGCAUGAUUCAUGGUAUUCAUUUGUGUUUCCUAACACGUUGCAAUAUACAUUGCCCAACCCAGCUGUAAAAUAGCUAUUUGCAUGCUAGCAGAUACAUAUUAGACCCAGUACAUUUUGAAUACAAUUUGAUAGCAUGUGAAUAGCUGGAUAUAGCUGGCAAAGAAUGGCAUUAAUGUCAGCCAUAAGUAUCAGUUUUGCUAUGGACACCUAUAGGGGAUAAAUACUGCAAGUACCUAUCACUUCUUGGAUGUAUUGCUUUUAUAAACAGUAGUGCAAGAGGGUAAAAAAAAAA
ensembl:lncRNA